CCCGCCUCGCCGCCGCGCCGCCGAGGACCCGGCCCGGUGCGGCCCGCCCGAUCCCUGUCAGCUCUAGCAGGGCGGCGGCGGCGGCGGAAGCAUGGAGGGCGAGAGCACGUCGGCAGUGCUCUCUGGCUUUGUGCUGGGCGCGCUCGCCUUCCAGCACCUCAACACCGACUCGGACACGGAAGGUUUUCUCCUUGGGGAAGUGAAAGGUGAAGCGAAGAACAGCAUAACUGAUUCUCAUAUGGAUGAUGUUGAAGUUAUUUAUACAAUUGACAUUCAGAAAUACAUUCCAUGCUAUCAGCUUUUUAGCUUUUAUAAUUCUUCUGGUGAAGUAAAUGAGCAAGCACUGAAGAAAAUAUUAUCAAGUGUCAAAAAGGAUGUGGUUGGUUGGUAUAAAUUCCGACGUCAUUCAGACCAGAUCAUGACAUUCAGAGAGAGACUGCUUCACAAAAACUUACAGCAGCAUCUUUCAAGCCAGGAACUUGUUUUUCUGUUAUUAACACCGAGUAUAAUAACAGAAAGCUGCUCUACUCAUCGGCUGGAGCAUGCCUUAUAUAAACCUCAGAAAGGACUUUUUCAUAGGAUACCUUUAGUGGUGGCCAAUUUGGGCAUGUCUGAACAACUGGGUUAUAAAACUGUAUCUGAUUCCUGUAUGUCCACUGGUUUUAGUCGAGCAGUAAAAAUACACAGCUCUGAAUUUUUUAAAGAAGAUGGAUCUUUAAAGGAGGUACAUAAGAUAAAUGAACUGUAUGCUUCUUUACAAGAGGAAUUAAAGAGUAUAUGCAAUAAAGUAGAACACAGUGAGAGAGCAGUAGAGAAACUACUAAAGGAUGUAAACAGAUUAAAACGAGAAAUUAAAAAAAGAAAGCAAGCACAGAUUGAAGCAACACGAGAGAAGAAUGUCCAGAGAGACCCUCAGGAGAACAUUUUUCUUUGUCAAGCUUUACAGACCUUUUUUCCCGAUUGUGAAUUUCUUCAUUCAUGUGUUAUCUCCUUGAAAAAUAGACAUAUUUCUAAAAGUAGUUGUAAUACCAACCACCAUCUCAAUGUGGCAGACAACCUGACCCUAAUGGUGGAAUAUACUGACAUUCCUGAAGCUAGUCCAGCUGGUAGUGCACUGCAAAUGAUUAAGCGUAAAGCUUCAGGUACAGAUGGUGGAUGGCAAUUCAAGAAGUCACGGCUGUUAGAGAUACAGAACAAACCAUCUAAAACAGAUACUGAUAGUAGUAACCAAGAAAAGGCAUCCACAGUGAGCAGCCCAGAAACAGAUGAAGAGAUUGAGAAAAUGAACAGUUCUGGUGAAUAUCCACAGUCUCCUACCUUUUGAUUCUUUUAGGCCGAAAGGAGAUUUUUCAUCAGAUGAAGGGUAAAGCCAAACAUGCCUAUUGUUUUUACUAUGUUCAGCUCUUUGCAGUAACACAUAGAUGUUUUAUCGCUAUUUUUCUUGUAAAAAGACAAUGCAGGACUUCCCUGCACCUCGUGGUGCAGAGGUUAAGAAUCCGCCUGCCAAUGCAGGGGACACAGGUUCGAGCCCUGCUCCAGGAAAGAUCCCACAUGCUGCGGAGCAACUAAGUCCGUGCGCCACAACCACUAAGCCUGCGCUCUAGAGCCUGCGAGCCACAACUACUGAGCCCAUGUGCCACAACUACUGAAGCCCGCGUGCCUAGAGCCUGUGCUCCGCGACAAGAGAAGCCACCGCAAUGAGAAGCCCGCACACCGCAACAAAAAGUAGACCCCGCUUGCAGCGACUAGAGAAAGCCUGUGCGCAACAACAAAAAAGCCAACGCAGCCAAAAAUAAUAAAUAAAUUAAAAUAAAAAAAGACAAGGCUUAGUGUAAUACUAUCAGGUUCUUUGACUACAAUUUUAUGGCCCCAGACUGUUUUGUAAGUUUGUGUCAGCCUUUUUCGUUUUUCUUUGUUCGCUACUGCCUCUAAUGCUUCUAUCACAAGGCCUCCCUCCUAAAAUCAGUUUAGGUGUCUCUGGUAUACAGAUUCUUAAUGUAGAAAUGGCUAUGAAGUCCCUGAACCGCUGUAGUUGUAUGCAAAAUUUCAAAUAAAUGGGACUGUGUGCCUUUUUCUGGGAGAGUCCAUAGCUUUCAUUAGUCUUAGUGGGUUUAAUGACCUAAAGAGGAGCUCUAGUAAUUUCCUUUACUCUCUUGACUAUGGUGUGAAUUAGAUGACUGAGAUGGACACUCAGAGGGACUAGAGGGGUUCUGUUUUUUUUCCAACUCCUCAAAUGUUCUUAAUCCAGUUUACAUUCAGCUUACCUGGAAUGACAAUGUUCCUUCUCUACACUGUGCAAAGUGCUUUAUAUGGCCUGAUUAGUGUCAAAUUAUCUUUGCAUGUAGCAAGAAAACCUAUACUGCCCAAGUCCAAUGAUAGUACUUGAAAUAAAAAUACAGCUACAGUUUAGAAGAGACUGUACUUAAUGGUCUGGUAUAAAACUUUAAAUUUGAUCCCACAUUUAUUAAAGCAGCCGCCACCCAGUCAAAGUGAUGAAUAGGAGGAAGACAGAAUUGAAUUUGAAAUGAGGAAGAGAGCCAAGGUAUAUGUAAACUUUGUACAAUCCCUUUGUUAGGUUUUCUGCAAUUACUGCAUGCAAAACUACCUUUUUAAAUUCCCAAAGCACAUAUCUAGGAAGCAAAAUAUGGUGUUACAGAAGCCAUGCGUCUUGCUAGGAAUCUAGGGAUUCUCUUACUUCAAAGUUUACUUAAGUAACUACUCAAGAAAUUAUAAUUUUCCAACUCAGACUAAUGAUUAUCAUCGUAAUUGUUUUUGUCCUUCAGCUGAACUCUAUUCAAAUAGCAGACAUAAGAACUUGGUCGUAUUUGCAAAUGCC